GAGGAAAGUCCGGGCUCUACUUAUAAACAGAAUGUUAUAUAAAAUAUAAUAUAGGAAACUAUGAGGAUAGUGCCACAGAAAUAUACCGCUUUUAUCUAAAGUAAGGGUGCAAUGGUUCGGUAAAAGCGGACCAGAAAUAUUGUUAAGAUAUUUGCUAGGUAAACCCCAUUUUAGAGCAAAGUAAUCACUUAAGUCUUAUUUUUCUUGUUUAUAAGUUUGAUAUUUAAAUGAUUUAAGUUAUAGUUAUAUGUUUAUACUGCUUAAAAGUGCAUUUCUUACUUAAGAUCAAUAAUUACCCUUUAAUACUUGUAGUUUAUUGUAUAAACUUGCAAUUUAAUGAAGAACAAAACCCGGCUUAU
rnacentral:RNase_P_RNA from 1 species